UGGGGAAUAUUGCGCAAUGGGCGAAAGCCUGACGCAGCGACGCCGCGUGAGGGAUGAAGGUUUUCGGAUCGUAAACCUCUGUCAGAAGGGAAGAAAUCGCACUGUGCUAAUCAGCAGUGCCUUGACGGUACCUUCAAAGGAAGCACCGGCUAACUCCGUGCCAGCAGCCGCGGUAAUACGGAGGGUGCAAGCGUUAAUCGGAAUUACUGGGCGUAAAGCGGACGUAGGCUGCUUUGUAAGUCAGGGGUGAAAUCCCACGGCUCAACCUUGGAAUUGCCUUUGAUACUGGUUAGCUUGAAGCCGGGAGAGGGUGGCAGAAAUCCAGGUGUAGGAGUGAAAUCCGUAGAUAUGUGGAGGAAAAACAGUGGCGAAGGCGGCCACCUGGCACGAUAAUGACGCUGAGGUGCGAAAACGGGGGGAGCAAACAGG
rnacentral:rRNA from 1 species